UACGGAGGGUGCAAGCGUUAUCCGGAAUCACUGGGUUUAAAGGGUGCGUAGGCGGCUAGAUAAGUGAGAGGUGAAAGUUUGUCGCUUAACGAUGGAACUGCUUUUGAUACUGUUAAUCUUGAAAGUAGGUGAGGUAAGCGGAAUGUGACAUGUAGCGGUGAAAUGCAUAGAUAUGUCAUGGAACACCGAUUGCGAAGGCAGCCUUCUAACCUGACUCUGACGCUGAGGCACGAAAGCGUGGGUAGAAAACAGG
rnacentral:rRNA from 1 species